CGCCCCGCCCCUGCAGGUCCUCGCCGGGUGUCCGCCCCCCCCCCCCCGCGCCCCUCAAAGUAAUAGUUUCCUUGUAUUUUAUGAUGGUAAGAAGAAAACUGCUUUCAAAAAGUGCCUGCUCCUUGCAAAACUGAUACAGAUAAACAGAAACAAAUGGCAGCAGUACUGCUUAAAAUUGCCUAAGCGGAAAGCAAAAAGGGAAGUAAUCAUAAAGACAGCAAACCUGGGUGCCUCCUGGGAUUCAAGAGCAGGACCCAGACAAAGUCUCGGGAAGGACUGAGUUGGUGAUUCAUCAGGAAGCAGUGGAAGAAAUACUGAUAAGGUCAGUUAGGAUGAAGAAAUAAUGUAUACUCAACUCAGGCCAUUAGUUCCUACUACUUCAGUGGCUGAUCCAUAAAAUGAGAUGCCUUUGGAACAUCCAUGUGUCAACAUAAAGUUUGCUGUUGUAAAUGUUUGUCUGAAACUCAUGAAAGAGGUUCCCAGGUUGCUGUCAGUGAGGGAAGAGAACACACACUGACUCCAAGCUCCUGUGGCCACAUCUUAUACUAGGUCCUUCAUUUUAUCUUCACAACUACUCUGUGAGGAAGGAACUGCGAUCUACAUUUUAUAUCUAGGAGGAAAAAAGGACUCAGAAGAAGAAGAAACCAAAAUCUAGGUCUAUCUGAAUCGGGACUCCAUUUUCUUUCUAAUCCAUAAGACCACCUCCCAUAAUUCAAUCAGUGAAUUGAUGCUUUCUGCCAGGACGGGUAAUAUACCAUCUACCCCCUAACGGUUUGCACUUCAGUGAGAGAGACAGAGAAGAUACAGGUAAAUUCAAUGAUAUGAUAGUGCUAUGAUAAGGUCCAAUGGGAAUGCACAGGGGGGGAACCUAACUUGGGCUUUGGGGUCAGAAAAGUCUCUACCAAAGAGAAAAUAUCUCUGCUGAACCAAGAAAGACUAAUAAGAAUCACGAAGAGAACUGGGUUAGGAAGCAUGAUCUCAGGCAGAGGUUGUAGUGAGAACAAAUGCCUGAAACGGGGAGAGUUGGAAGGCUGCACACAGUUCAGGGUGGCUGGAGCCAAACCAGAGGUAGCGUGUGAGACAGAGGUAAGCAAGGCCAGCUGGAAUGUAGGUUGAGGGUACAGGAAACCAUUAGAUCCUUUUAACAGAGGAGAUUUGCAUAUGAGAUUUGCAUAUGAAAAAGAAUCUCUCUGGCUAGCUAGAAGGUAGAGAAUGGACUCUAGAGGGAACUAAAGAAGAGAAAGCAGGGAAACCCAUUAGCAGGUGAAGGCCACAGUCCAGGUAAGAGAUGAUUACAGUACAAAUUAAGGUAAUGGCCCCCUAGAUAAGGAGGGGUAGAAGGAAAUCCAGGUUGGAGACUGGAUGGGACUUGGCGGUUGAUUAGAUGUUAAGAGAUGUGGAAAAUAGCUAAAGAAUCAAGAAUAAUAUUCAUGUUAUGAAUUGGGCAACUGUGUGGAUGGUAGAGUCAUUAGAGAGAUAGACAAGAAAGGGCAAGUAUGAAGGAAUAUUGAUGCAUUUCACUUGAGACAUGUGGAAGCGAGGUGCCAGUGGGACACCCAGAGCAGGCUGUCUGAUAGACAGUGGUCUACAGGUUUGUGGCUGAGGAGAAGGAACUGUUGGGAUAGAAGCAGAGGUUUGAGUUUCAUCAAUGGUAACUUAAGCAGUAGGGGUAUAUGAAUACUCCAAAAGAUAUAAAAGGAGGGGAAAAGUGGGUUGAAGAAGGAACUGAGACACACAAACAUUUAGGAGUUAAGUAGAAGAAAGACCUUCAAAGAGACUGAGAAGAAGCCAGAGAAACAGGAGGAAAAACCGAAAAAGUAUAGUCUUGUAUAAGGAAAGGGAAGAUAGGAGUAGAGGUAAAGAUGCUGACAGUAUAACUAGUUUCAACAGUAGGGAAGUUAUGGGUGUAUUUUCUGAGAGCAAUCUAAGCCAGUCUGCAGUGGGGUGAGGGGAGACUGGAUGGUAAGCAAAUGCAGAUGGUGAGACUAGAAAACUUCUUCAAGUUUGAGCUUCAUGUUGGGUGUAGAGAUUACUUAAAUGAAUAAAACUUUAAAAAAAGAAAAGAAAAGAAAACUCCUUCAAAAUAUCUGUUUGAAUGGGAUUGUGAGGGAAACAAACCAUA